rnacentral:rRNA from 1 species
UACAGAGGUCCCAAGCGUUGUUCGGAUUCACUGGGCGUAAAGGGUGCGUAGGUGGUGAGGUAAGUCGGAUGUGAAAGCUCGGAGCUCAACUCCGAAAUGGCAUUGGAAACUACCUUGCUCGAGGAAUGGAGGGGGGACUGGAAUACUUGGUGUAGCAGUGAAAUGCGUAGAUAUCAAGUGGAACACCAGUGGCGAAGGCGAGUCCCUGGACACUUCCUGACACUGAGGCACGAAAGCUAGGGGAGCAAACAGG